rnacentral:rRNA from 1 species
UACGUAGGGGGCAAGCGUUAUCCGGAUUUACUGGGUGUAAAGGGAGCGUAGACGGCAGCACAAGUCUGGAGUGAAAUCCCAUGGCUUAACCAUGGAACUGCUUUGGAAACUGUGCAGCUGGAGUGCAGGAGAGGUAAGCGGAAUUCCUAGUGUAGCGGUGAAAUGCGUAGAUACUAGGAGGAACACCAGUGGCGAAGGCGGCUUACUGGACUGUAACUGACGUUGAGGCUCGAAAGCGUGGGGAGCAAACAGG